GAGUCCUGAGUCACUUUCAUGAUGCUUAUGGGCAAAGGAAAGUAGUGAUAAGAAGCCAAAUGGGAGCAUGAUCUGAAGUUACCCUGAGGAAGUCACAUCUUGAGUGUUCCAAACAGCCUCAAGUAUUUAAGCAGACUAGUUUGGGAACUGGCACUGCAUAUAUAUUUUUAAACUUCAUUGAGUGUAUGUCUAAUGGCUGGUUUUUAUCUUCAGUGUUGCAUCUAGAAUCAAGUUUUAAUAAAUAAUACUGAAACUUCCUUAUAGUUUGAGAACUUGUGCUCUUUGAGCAACACCAAUAAAGUGAAGUUUUUCAGAAA